AUUGAACGCUGGCGGCAGGCCUAACACAUGCAAGUCGAGCGGAGGAAGGGAGCUUGCUCCUGGAUUCAGCGGCGGACGGGUGAGUAAUGCCUAGGAAUCUGCCUGGUAGUGGGGGAUAACGUCCGGAAACGGGCGCUAAUACCGCAUACGUCCUGAGGGAGAAAGUGGGGGAUCUUCGGACCUCACGCUAUCAGAUGAGCCUAGGUCGGAUUAGCUAGUUGGUGGGGUAAAGGCCUACCAAGGCGACGAUCCGUAACUGGUCUGAGAGGAUGAUCAGUCACACUGGAACUGGGACACGGUCCAGACUCCUACGGGAGGCAGCAGUGGGGAAUAUUGGACAAUGGGCGAAAGCCUGAUCCAGCCAUGCCGCGUGUGUGAAGAAGGUCUUCGGAUUGUAAAGCACGUUAAGUUGGGAGGAAGGGCUGUAAGUUAAUACCUUGCUGUUUUGACGUUACCAACAGAAUAAGCACCGGCUAACUUCGUG
rnacentral:rRNA from 1 species